UGGUUCUGGCAUCGAUGAAGAACGCAGCGAAAUGCGAUAAGUAAUGUGAAUUGCAGAAUUCAGUGAAUCAUCGAAUCUUUGAACGCACAUUGCGCCCUUUGGCAUUCCGAGGGGCAUGCCCGUUCGAGCGUCAUUACACCACUCAAGCCUGGCUUGGUAUUGGGCGUCGAGACUCCUCGCGCCUCUAUUAAUUCGGCUGCGGUCUGUCCAUCUCAGCGUCGUGCAGGAUUUUUAAUCCCUUCGCUCGGGUGGGCCGCCGGCGCGCCGUUAAACGUUUUUAUCUAAAGGUUGACCUCGGAUCGGGUAGGGAUACCCGCUGA
rnacentral:misc_RNA from 1 species